AUUGAACGCUGGCGGCAGGCCUUACACAUGCAAGUCGAACGAGUGGCGGACGGGUGAGUAAUGUCUGGGAAACUGCCCGAUGGAGGGGGAUAACUACUCGAAACGGUAGCUAAUACCGCAUACUAUCAGAUGGGCCCAUAUGGGAUUAGCUAGUUGGUGGGGUAACGGCUCACCAAGGCGACGAUCCCUAGCUGGUUUGAGAGGACGACCAGCCAAACUGGAACUGAGACACGGUCCAGAAUCCUACGGGAGGCAGCAGUGGGGAAUAUUGGACAAUGGGGGCAAGCCUGAUGCAGCCAUGCCGCGUGUAUGAAGAAGGCCUUCGGGUUGUAAAGUACUUUCAGCGGGGAGGCGUUACCCGCAGAAGAAGCACCGGCUAACUCCGUGCCAGCAGCCGCGGUAAUUC
rnacentral:rRNA from 1 species